GACGAACGCUGGCGGCGUGCUUAACACAUGCAAGUCGAACGGAAAGGCCCUGCUUUUGUGGGGUGCUCGAGUGGCGAACGGGUGAGUAACACGUGAGUAACCUGCCCUUGACUUUGGGAUAACUCCAGGAAACAGGGGCUAAUAUCGGAUAGGAGCUCCUGCUGCAUGGUGGGGGUUGGAAAGUUUCGGCGGUUGUGGAUGGACUCGCGGCUUAUCAGCUUGUUGGUGGGGUAGUGGCUUACCAAGGCUUUGACGGGUAGCCGGCCUGAGAGGGUGACCGGCCACAUUGGGACUGAGGGACGGCGCAGAAGCCUACGGGAGGCAGCAGUGGGGAAUAUUGCACAGUGGGCGGACGCCUGAUGCAGCAGCGCCGCGUGCGGAAUGACGGCCUUCGGGUUGUAAACCGCUUUCGCCGGUGACGAAGCGUGCGUGACGGUAAUGGGUAAAGAAGCACCGGCUAACUACGUG
rnacentral:rRNA from 1 species